CAGUGAGGUUUGGAGAUGGCCGUGAAGAGACGAAAGUCCAUGCCUGAGACUGUCCAGUCAUCUCUGCGGGGGCCACAUAUUUUUGCAGGAUAUUGUAUUUGAAAAAAAAAAAAAAAAAAACCUUCAAGAUUCAUGAAAUUAGACAACUGUCUUUGUAACACUUACAGUGGUAAAAGCCGUCAGGGAGGCUGGUUUGCAGUCAUCUGAGCAGCCUCUCCGGUUUCAUAGAUACAGUUUCUCUCUGACACUGAACGCCUUUCAACAUCACAGAGAUAACCAGGUUUGAAAGGUACCGGUUUUCUUUGUAAUCCUAAAGGUUCUAGUCUGCCCAUUAAAAGACAUUAUCUGCAGAUGCGUGCACAAGCCUCCAGCUGGCCGCCAGAAAGGUCCUCCGCAGGACACAGGUCAAGUACCCUCCUCUUUGGUGGAGACCAGAUUCGGGGUCUCGGCGCACCGCCCCAAAGGACAGGGGCUGCAUGGAAAAAAGGGAGAGGCCGUCACUUACCCGGGUUGGUCGGCUGAGUGGCAGAAGAGCAGACGGGGACUGGGAAGGCGCCUUCGGUGACAUCACGGAGAGGGCGACUUCUAUGUAGAUGAGGCAGCGCAGGGGCUGCUGCUUGGCCACCUGCUGCUUCCCGACGAAGCUGUGGGAGCGAGUCCAGGACCACUGGCUGGAGUGCGAAGGCGUCAUCUCGGCUCACCGCAAUCUCCGCCCCCUGGGUUCAAGCACUUGAUCAGGAAUAAUGUCAUCAGUGAAUGGAAAAACAAAUGGACAUUAUUAUUUAACCCAUAAUGAGACAAGCUGGUAACAUAACUGAGGUCAACCGCUGCUCAUAUUUAAACAGCUUAAUCUUAAAUCCAGAAGGUCAAUAUAUUCAGCUAUUUCCUGGGACUUUGGCAAAUGAUUUAUCUGGUGACAGGAGGCCUGUUUUCAGAUCGCAUCCUCUCCCUGUCCCUAAUCCAGUUUCUUGGGCCCUCUCUUGAUGCCCGCUUGAGGUUCCUGCCCGUGCAUAAUAUGUGCUCAAUAAAUAUUUGUUGAAUGAAUGAAUAAAUAAAAAAAAUUAUCCAGCCCUGA